rnacentral:lncRNA from 1 species
CUAUUGGUAGAUAAUGCAACAUGAACAUGAAUAUAUACAUGUUCUUUAAAAGCAGUAGCUUCGCACACUCCUAAAAUAUAUACACCCACUUGCAUUAGAUGAGGGCUUCCAUAGCGGAUCAAACAAAAGAUGCCAUCAAAUACUAUUAUUUGCAUGAAAAAGAUAAUCUUUCAUAUAUAACUUAUUUACAUGACAAAAGUCUGCCUCGAGAAACUUUUUACAAAACUGGAGUUAAGUACCGAACAUCAGGGUUCAUCACCCCACCCUUCAUCUCCUGGAUCACAUAGCCCACCAAAAUUUCUCCCCAGGAGAGAGAAACUUAUUCAGUAAGUAGUACGAAGAACAGAUAUAUUUAUAUAUAGAUAUGCCUGUCGAAUGCUCUGAAUUACUAGUAGUGGUUAUACAGGAAGAGGCCAACUCCAUCUCAAGCAUUGUUUUCCGCAAAUAUAUCAAGGAGGGCCAGAGCCUGAAAAAAUAAGUAUAUCUCUGUCACAACUCACAAAUAAGCUGAUGAAAUAAGAGAGGUGUCAAAUGAUGUUUUUUCUAAGCAUAUACCUCAGGGAUAUUGAGCUCCAGACGAAACUUGGGGCCAUCGUAGUGAUGAAGGAUUGGGCGGAAGGCGUCCUCUUCCAGUGGUUCACAGACCUUCCUUGUCACCACCCUCACCUAAUCAAAGUAGGGGGGAGAAAACAAUGAGAACAGCAUAAGCAAGCAGACCUAAUGCUUGAACAAGUCAUUAAGAAAUCUCUCUGGAGUUGAGAAAAAGAGAGGGUGAUAGCUUGGUUGGUGCAGGUCUCCAUCAAAGAAAUAUAAAAAUAAGAUGGAAUUCACCACCCAAUGGAUAGGAUUGGAGGUUUCAUGUGUUGUUAUAAAGAAAGCAAACCACCUCAACAACUAGCACCAGUAUUCUUCAUCCAUGAAUAAAGUAGUACCAGCAUAGAUAAAAUAAGGAAGUGGAGUCAUGUACCAACAUAGAUAAAAUGAUUAACAUUUAAUGUGAAUAAAGAAAACAGAGGAAGUUGAAUCAAACUCCAUGAUCAAACCAUUAAGAAAAUAUUAUCAUGUCCAAUCUUGCCUUUCAUACUGAAAAAGGGGAUGGGAAAGGAGGGAUGGACAGGAGAAGAUGCACUAUCUUUCUGAUCUGAAACUUAUGUCCAUCCAAAUCCAUGAAGGGACUCCCAUAGUAGCUAGCAUCAAUGAAUACACAUCUAGAUGAAUACACCCAUCAAUGAACAGCCUUUUCAAAAGGAAACACUCAUUCUGAAGCUAGAGUCUCACUGUUUGUAUAACUUAUCCAAAUUAACAACGCAAGACAGAGAACAACAGGAUACAAUCGACCCAAACCCGAAGCAGAAUCGAGUUAUGGAAUACACACCUGAGAAGGGAAACGGGAUUCCCCAGGGCAUUUCUUGUCCUCCCAAGCCGUUCGAUCGAUGUGGGUUCCUCCAAAGCUAGCCGCCUGUAGACGAAGUUGCAGGGCAAAUUUGUAUAAGAAAACAGAACCCAAUUCCGUCGAGCGGAUAAGAUGGUAUGAGAUAGAGGAACAGAUGCAGCACCUCAAAAAUUCCAUGGAGCUGAUGGGUCGAGUAGUUGUAGAGGAAAAGAGGCAGCCCUGGUGUGAUCGCCCGAACCGAGUCUCUGUACCUUGGCGGCAGGCCUGUUACCAACCAAAACCAACAAAAAAAAUAAGAAAAAAUGGUUGCCCAUUUGAAUUGAACCAAUAUUUAGGGAAGUUUUAACAAGGAAAGAUGUCAAAGCUCAAUAACUACUAAAAAUUCCAUUCUUUUGGUUAACAAGUUUGACCUCCCACCAUUAAAUCUGAAAAACAGAGUUACAAAAUACCUCAAAGAUAGUGCAAAUUUGUGGGUAGGAUACCAAGUGAUUUCCUUUGCUACAAAGGAAAUUAAAUGGGUUGAAUCUAAGUAAUCGAGCAUGUACUCCUAAAAAUUUGAACUUUCUUCCAUUAAUAUUAAUAACGAUAAUUAAAUUGCGAUCAAAGAACAAAAUUCGAACUUCCCUUUCAAAAAUGAUGCGAAAAAUAAAGAUAAUAAUGAUAAUUAAUCAAAUAAAGCAUGCAUACCAAAAAGCUGCCUUCGGAGAUUCUCCUCCAUGGUAUCGUUGUUGCAGACAAAGAUAUAACCCCCGACCGCUUCACUCCUCGGCAGGGCCUCCGACGGCGGCAGCGUCUUGAAUCGCUUAUCCACCGCUCCAUUGUUAUUGUUGUUAUUGUCGUUGUUAUUCCCGUAAUUGCUGUUCUUCUUCUUCUUCCCACUCCCUCCGUCAUUACCAUUAUUCUUCCUCCCGCCAUACCCGUUAUUCACCGACUUCCCGAUCGCCUUGCUAAAAUAAUUCUUGAUCUCCCCGUUGUUAUUAAUACCGUUGUUAUAACCAUUAUUUACAAAAUUCUCAUUCUUCAGUCCACCGUUAUUCCCACCGCUAUUCUUUCCCGUAUUGCUGUUGUUGUACCUCUCGUUGGUGCUAUUCCCGAACGCCAGCUUCUGAUUUCCGAACCCCGUCUUCCAGACGAGAUCGGAAGGCCCUACGGGGUUCUCGAAGUUUCGGCGCUCGUCGAUUCUUCUCACAAACGAGUCGCUCCAUAUGCUAUCCCCGAUAGACAGGUUGGAUAAGUUGGUGGUCUGGAGCCGGAUCUGAUCACUGAAGUUCCAGAACUCGUUGUUGGCCUCCAUCUUCCGCGACUAAUUCCCUCUAAUUCAACUAAUAUUCAGUGUAUCGGUAGAGAUUGGUUUAGGAAUAGGGGUGGGAAUAGGGUGUGGAUUGAAGCAGGGAGAGGAGAGGAUGGGGGUAGUUAUAAAGUUGGGAGUGGGUGAAGGAUGAUGGGCAGGAAAGUUUCUUGGAAGGAAGGAGGGGGGAGGAAAGCGUGUGAAUGUGUCAAGAGAGGUGACACAAACGCGUUUUGGAUUUUGGAAGCCAGACCGUGAGCAGAAAGAAGAUGACGGGUUCCUGAACGAAUUAAUGGGGGAUAAACGGGAAUUGGGGGGGGGGGGGGAGGAAGGGGAUUACUUCAUGGAGAGGGCAGUGGUGGAGGGGGAUUACUUCGUGGGAAGGGAAGUGGUGGGGGUGGGGCAGAGGGACACGCGGCGGGCCAGGUCGCAUGCCACGACCUCUAGAAGGGCGGCUGGUUGGCUUCCAGAAGCUUGACUUGGGCACCGGCGACGUGGGGCCCUAACAGUCAUACACGUCGUAAUAGAGUGAUAUGGGACAGGUGGGGAGCCCGGACAGGGGUUGUAUCCUUCCUUCGCGAAAAUCCACCGUUGGAUCGGAAAAUAGCCACUUCGUGAUCUGUGCAGAAAGAAUUCGUAAUUCUUUGAGAUAUGUGCGGAUCGUGAUCCAAUGGCCAACCUCGGGAAAGAACAUAGAUCGUUCCUUCGCGCGAAACAUACACCCGGAACCGGGGGAGCACGCGUGUCUGAAAAGCCAGUCUUUUGAUGGAGGGCGAGGGAACGCGAUCUGGGCCGUCACGGCGUGUGGGUGGGUGGGAUCAUGGACUUUGGAUUUCAUGACUCGUCGUGUGACACGUCAUAGUGCGCCAAAUCGGCCAUUUGUCAAUUCAGAAAGCCAAAAAGGGCCAUUAUUUUUUCACAAAAAAAAAAGAAUAAGGACCCAAUGAAUGACCAUAGCUAAUAAUAUGUUUAGGUCUAAACAAUUUCUUAGUAAAUAUUCUCUCCAUCUCUAUUAGUUUUAGUACAUUUAAUCGACAAACAUUAGAUAAUCAUGAAUUUUUUUUUGGCUUUAUGUUAUCAUCAGCAAUGGAUCCAAUGCAAAGAAAAUAUUAGAUAAAAGAUUCAACAACCUGUUUACAUGAUUUCUGUGGAAAGAGAACGCUGCAUAGGGAGUUUUUUUUUUUUCUUGAGUCUACACGAGGUUGUCUCAUGGUUGGUAUAUUGGUAUAUGUUUAAACAACCAACGUUACGUGACCUGGAAUUUUCUUUGGCUUGAUAUACGGUUUCACACUAGUUGAUGUGAUUAAUUGUCGUUACACGUAGUGGCUAGCGCGCUCUCAAUACCUAGAAGAAGACGUAGCAAGGUUUGGUUCAUGUGAUGUCACACGGAAGGAACUGUUAGGACACGGAAAGCAAUGUAUAUUUGACUUUUACCAUCUUGUAUGGCUGUCUAGUGCUUCUUCAACACUCGCACAAUUUUGAAUAAUAAAUUGAAGUUUAUUAAGUACUUGUGCUAAUGCAAGUGGCUGAGCUGGGUUUGACAAUUGAACCCGGCUCCUAACCAAUGUAUUUUGUUUGAGUUUGGGCUUGGCUCAUGGCCAUUGACAAAGUGACCUGAAGUCAAAUCCGACUCCACGCCCAACCCAGACGCUUCAGAUUUUGGCAUAAUCUCUGAUCUGGUUCGCCAUCAUCUGAACUUGAAAUUGUAGGUAUUUGCACAAAUGUCGGCUUGCACAAAGCUCUACUGAUCUUAGGAGAUUUUGCAAUGCUUAGGGUAUCAAUCUUGCAUAAUUGCUACAUAUCAAUCUUAUAUAAUUGCUUUACUUAAAAAAAACACCGAUUAUGUACAUAUUUUGCCGAUAGACAUGUUUAUCGGAUGGAUCAGGCCGUGCUUAGCCCCAUACAUAACCAAAAUUAUCCAAGCCUAAGCUUGGCACAGCCCGGGCUUCGGGCUUACUUUCCAGGCCCGAGCCUGUUAGGUUUGGACGUUCAGCCGGCCACGAGUUUUUCAAAUCACCGUGGAGAUAAGAGAGGGAGGGGACAACGUGUCCUCUGUUUUGAGCCUUAUCUUUUCUUCUUUUUUUUAAUUUGAAUUUUAGAUAGAAAUUGGCUAGGCAUGCUUUCUUUUGUCUAACAUGUGCCCAAUUUAGGCCAAUUCUCACACAUAUGAACCUGAGACUUAAAUCCAUAUUCCACCAUUUAAAAGAUUCCAUGGCCUGUGAGGAUUUCGUUCAAGCCCUUGAACUGCAGUCUACAAUCAUCAUAUGUUCUUCUGGACCUGUUCUUUGUAGAGCAAUUCUUGUACACAGCAUUAAUUCAUUAACACUUCGGGCCAAUGGUGGACAUUGUACUCUUGUUUGAAGAGUUUUAUGUGAAAAAAAAAGGAGAAAGGGACAAAAAUGGUAUAUGAGGAGGCAUGAAAUCUACCUUUCCAAAAGAAAAAGACGCAAGAGGGAGGAUCCGACUGUGAUCUCUCUCCAUCGGUCAAGAAGAUUUGGUUAAAGAGGCUCUCCAACUUUUGAAUUUUCCCCAAGGUUGCAAGAAAAGAGCGUUAGAAGGAUAGCAAUGUGAUGGCAUGAGCAAGCCUCGAGUGGGUCCGGGGUUCGGGGACAGCGCGCCCGUGGAAGCGAACGUCAGCAAGCGUGCCGUUUAGUCUGGAGAAAGAUACGUGGGCGCGUUUCCAUGUGAUCUGCCAAAUUGGAGCGUGCACUAAAAUCUAGCGCUCCACCAGGGAAAGGUUCGUGUUUUGAAUAUUAGGCUACUUCAAAGCACGAAUCUUUGACCCGGCCACCAUAAUUAGCUGAAUUCAGGAGCGCUCUAAUAGCGAUGGAGGGCUACUUUUUUGCUUCAAAAUAUUUGAAAUAUAACGAGUGGUGGUGUGGCUUUCUAGGUCAAGAAUAUUUUUAGAAAGUCAAACGAAACUACAGACUGAGUGGCUUCAUAUAUGGCCAGUCACUUCGAAGUCAUCCUAUCGUUGGAAAAAAAAAAUUGCCUAAAGCGCUCUGAAACUUGUUGUUUUCUAAUCUUAUUAGAUAUAUCUGUACUAUAACUAUAUAAAUCAUUUGCUUCAGCACAAGAAAAAAAUAUUAGAAAUUUUUCCAUGGUUGCACGGCUUUAGUAUGCAAAAUAUACUGGUCCUUCUGGAAGAUGAAUCCAUGGGCUAAACUUUCACAAAUAUUUUUUUUAUAAUCUCCUCCACAUAUGUACAUAUAUAUAUAUAUAUAUAUUUGGUAUAGGAAUCUCGUCAAAAAAUUUUGUAGGUGCAAUCCUGACGGUCUAUAUGGUUGUCUCUUGAAAUGUUCUCUAAAUUUGAAUUCAAAUUUAAUGAAGUAUCUUUUUUAGACAUGGGAAGUUAUAUACACGGAUCUUUUUUACAGAGGCUUCUGUUUUUCGCUUCUGCAGUUACUGGUUCUUUCAUACUCGAACCUUGCACGUCUUUCCAUAAAAAAAAUAGUGAACUUCUGAAACGUGAAAUGUCCAUCCUCGUCCAACUACUAGACGUUCCCUUGUCGAUAUGGAAAACAUUCUGUUGCUCUUUCUUACAUAAAAUAACAAAAAUGUAUCAAUUAUGCAAUGCAUCAUGCCCUUUCCUUUUCCUCUCUUUUUUAACUUGUUAUUUCUUCUUGGGGGGGACAUUAGCUUGGCCUCCACUUGUAUGAUCUGACAAAAAUUGAGUUAAAAAAAUAUAUGUCCUUUGUACAUGUAAUGCAUUACAUCGCAAUUAUUUGUCCUUGCUGCAAUCAUGAUGCAUUAUGUAUGUCACGCCGAAGGACAUCUAAUAAUUUUUCAUGAAAGUGAUGCUCUUGCAACGUAUAGAUGUAAAGGAAAGAAGUUAUAAAAUGAAUGUGUAAGUAAGUGUUUUGUCCCCAUCAUUAGCUGAGAUAUUUGGUAAAGCGUGGUUUUUUAGAUUUGCUGCACUGCGACGCCCAUCCACGGCCGUCUCGAGACAAAACACUUACUUACAUAAGUUUAAAAAAUAACGCCAUGCAGCGUUGUUGGCCGUGGGAACAAAUAAAGGGCAGCAACCAGCUCUGCAAAAGUUUUUGAAGUGAAAAUAACGUAUAUACUAUCAAUAAAAUCUCAUGCUCGCACCAACCCAUCCGUACCAAAAUAUCAUCAAUUCAUUCCUGCAACUAUUGAAGCCCCAUGAUUUAAGUAGGUUAUAUUUGUCACAAACUUACGGUCCAAAAACUUAAGUGUUAGAAGAAAAACAUAGCACUUUUUAUUAUUAGUCAAAAUGAAAAUAUGAUAAUAUUUCCUUUUAAUCCAGUGGCUCUCUAGAUCUGGAUCCUAUGGGAACCUUUUUGAUCUUGGUAUCCUUGGUAAGAAACUCAUACGGCUAAUAAAAAUUGUCACACAUAGCUUUGAUACCAUUUGUUGCGAACUUAUAGUUUAAGCAUUAUAGUUGCUAAGAGGAGAACUGGCUCAGACUAAUAAAUCUAUAUGACAUCCUUCGUAAUAGCAAUAAUCAAUGAGGCUUGCAAAGUACAUAUGUCUAUCUAUACGUCCAUUUUUUUUUUUUUUGGUGAAAACAGCAAUUCAUAUAGCUCUAACGUGAGAACAUCUGGUCAAAUCAAGAAAAAGUAAAAAGUACAAAAGAGGAGGUAUAUCUACUGUAGAUGUCUAAAGAAAUUUUUUGGAGUGCCGGACAACGAAGAAAGCAACCCAGUUUACUGUACUGUUCAUCUCUCAAGAUACAUGUGCUGUCUAAAAAUCGUUCGGCUCUUGAAAAGGCCUCAGCAAAAGGAAUGGCCUACAUCUCGCCACGAAAAUGGCUUGUUUAAAUGGGAGGUUGGACGGCCGGCAUUGGCUAUGUGUGACCCGGGACAAACUUCUUUUUCGAUUUUAUUCUUCUGGCGGUCUCACCCGGCUUCACCAAAAAGGGCCAUAAUGGGGCAGCACGGAACCAAGGACGUUUGGUUAGACCCAAUUAACCUUAACCAAGUUACCCUCGUCAACAAUUUUAUAUUUUUAACUUUUUUCCUCCUUUCUGGAAAGAGUUUUACAUUUCUACUCUGAUGAGAUAUUAAGAUUUCACUUGCAUUAAAGCCGAAAUCUCCUAAUUAAUGAUCUGCAGACAGGGCUUUUAUUCCUUAUCUCUGCUCUUUACUGGGUGUAAUAAUAGUAGUUGUUAUUGCAGAACAUAAUGAGGAAAAAUAACGAUUUUACUUGCUCAAACUAUGGUCCAAAAAAUAAAAAUUACUUUUGUGAAGGUAAUACAUAUUUGUGAGUUGAAAACAUUAUAUCUUGCGAGUUACAAAAUAAACAGCGAAAAGCUUCAAAAUAAUAUAUCUUAUGUCAUAUGAUUACUUUCUAGGGAGGUCUCACAUCCCUAUCCCCAAUUCAUUACACAAUGAAAUGAUGAGAUGGUUUUCCGCUAUUCUGUUUAAAAAAGGACUAUAGCAAAAUAAAUAUUAAUAUUUUUUAUUAUAAAUUGAAUUUUAUUGUUAAUUUUCUGUCAUCAUAAUCUGAACUUUUGACAAUAGGGAUCGCAUGUCUUGACCUCUAAGAUUUUUCUAUUCACCUCACAAGGUUGAUUAUAUCAAACCGCAUACUUUUCUGAGGAGCGCAUUCUUUUUUUAUGCAAAUGUCAUAUUUUUUGUAAUAAAUCCCUCCGUAUUUAUUCAAAUUUCAAAAAGGCGCAGUGAGAAAAAUUUUAGAAUAUAAUAAAAAGAAAUUAUAGUUUGUCAAGCAUGCUCUAAAUUAUGGCCUUUAUUUUAAACCAACCACUUCAUUAGCGUCGACGUAAUAACCAACAAAUCAGUGGUAACGGUCGGUAAUUUGACGAGCACUUCAAUCCCUCGACACCAAAGCGACGCUCUAUAACAAGGUCUUGGAGGUGUUUAGCCGCUUGCUCGGAGUCCGAUGGCAGAAAAGCUUCCGGCGGGCCGGAAGGCAGAAAGGAGUACUACUUCGCCGGCGGGCGGGACGCGCCACCCGGUCUACAAAGGAGUGAGGAAGCGGCAGUGGGGGAGGUGGGUGUCGGAGAUCCGGGAGCCGAGAAAAAACUCGAGGAUCUGGCUGGGCUCCUUCCCCACGCCGGAGAUGGCCGCCCGGGCCUACGACGCCGCGGCAAAAUGUCUCAAGGGAGCGAAGGCCCAGCUCAACUUCCCGGACCAAGCCCACCUCCUCCCCGUCCCCUCCACGCCGGCACCGAGAGACAUCAAGGCCGCCGCCACGGCCGCCGCGAAGCUCGAGACUCCGAGUUCUGCCGCUUCCGCUUCCGCUUCCUCUUCCGCUUCUUGCUCUUCUUCUAGUUGUUUGGUCGUUGGCGAGGAGGCGGAGGUGAAGUCGGAGUUGACGGAUGGGUUGGACGACUUCUGGGCCGAGAUCGAGGUGACUGAACUAAUGAACGGUCGGAUAUCCCCUGUUUUGUCCCGGGAGACAUGGUUCUGGGACACGUGCACCGACGAGAUUUAUCUGUGAGAUCUAGUAUUAGAUAUAUUAGCGUGUCUCGGUGUCCGGUGUAAUUCCAAGAGAGUAGAAGGUAUUGCAUGCUAGCGAUUUGCUUUCUGAAUUCGUGGCACAAAUUUUGGACCAGUAUGGCCAUGGGUUGCCGCAGUCAUGGGUUGCCGCGUGUCCUUUGUUUGAGCGAAAACAGAGGAAGCAAGUCAUUUUAUUAAUAAAGUGUGAAUAUAUAUACAGCAAGUAUAAUGGUCAAGACAUGAUCACGAAGAAGGAGAACAACAAAUAGGAGACAAUUUUUCAUGAACAUCAGAAUCCAUUUCAGAAGAAAGAUUACCCCAAAGCUUGAAUGUUUGAAGUCUCGGAGAGAAUAGCUUUAACUGAAGAUUUUCUUUUUUAAGAAAAAAUAAAUUUCUCUCGAGCCAAAUUUGCCAAUAUAGAGUAAUGAUGAGUUGGUUCUAUAUCCUUCCGAAUUAUGAUUGUAUCUUUUUACUUCUCCAAGGGAUCCAUAAAACUUGUUAGUUAGAUGGCCAUCCAUGAAACUUUAGGUGCAGCUUCAGUGCGAACCAAAUGCUUUUGAUGAGGAGGCACUUGGUCAACAAAUGUGAUGCAGUUUCCUAAGUUUGCUUUAUAUAACCAUUUAUCGCGAGGACUUCCCGGGUGUGCAAUUUGUCCUUCAAAGCUAACCAUAGAAAUAUCUUUACUUCCUCCGGGAUCGACACUAAGGAAAGAGAGCACCACCACUAAAUGAAUUUGUAAAACGAUCAUACUAAGAAGUGACCAUCUUUGGAGUGCCUCCAAACCAUCACAUCCGCGAAUCUGAUUCACUUUGUGUUUGAUGUUCCAUUUCCGAUUGUGGUGAUUCCAGUAGGCUACAACGGUGGAGCUUCUUUUCGCAGCUUCAAGGUAUAAAUGUUGAAAGAGUAGUGACGCGAAAGCAAUUGAAUCAAUCCAAGAGUUUUUCUAAAAGCAUCGUUACCAGUCUCCAGUUUAAAAAGGGUGCAUAUCCAAAGGGCUCCUGGAUCACUACUGAUAUCUUUCCAAAUUAAAGAGGAGGAUUUCAAUGAUCAUUUUGCACGCAUCCCGAGUUCCCUUCCAGCAUAAUAACUGUUGUUUAUCAAGUCUCGCCAUGGGGUGUUUGGGCUUUUGAUAACUGUUGUUUAUCAAGUCUUUAGAUUCACAUUCUUCAACAUCCGGAUCACAGAAGAGUUCAGGUUCAAGCAGUACAAUACAAUCAUUGCUUUUAUAGAGAACCGAGAAACAGAGUACUAUCCCUGGCAAUUCCUAUGGAGGAUCGAUCCAGCAGGUAUGACUAGGAUGGGGCCAUUACUCACGACAGUCAAAGUCAGUGAGCUCUGUACCUCACUCAGAAGUCCCCCUAUAUGGCCGACGGAUGCAGGCUCGCCAUGGAGGAUUGAAAUCCACUCGAGAGUGGCACUUUUUUUUUGGAAGGUGGUGUGGCAUCGGCUGCUAUUUGAGUAUCUGACAAUACAACAGAUUUAGAGCGGAGAGUAUUCAGUUGCUUGUCCCUCAUGAUUAGGCUGAAAUUUUCCUACACCAUGUAGAAAAGGUGAAUCACAGGGAUACUAGGAAAAUGAGGCCAAUUAAUUUUUCUUCAAUAUGCUGCUUAUUAUAUUUGCACGGCCAGGAACAUAAGAUUGUUUGAGAGCGAGGUGGAGAGCCCUUUGGUCGUUGUGGCGACAGCCAUGGAUGAUGCUUUGGACUUCAUUUGUGCCACUAGUUCAAAGAGGUAUUUGACAGCUGGAAAAAUAUGAGUUCCCACAUAUGCAGAUUUUGCGCUUCUUGUGUUUUAUUUCACUUGAGAACCUUCAACCGUAGCUUCCUCAAUAUUAACUUCGAUGGAAGUGUCAAGAAUAGAGGGCAAAGCAGAGGAGUUGGCUUUUUGGGGGUGGCGGGUGGCUGCCUAUUGUUUGACAUAUUGGUACCUUUUGUCGAGCUGAGAGCUGCAUGAGAGGGCCUGACUCAUAUCAUCUUAGUUUUGUAGGCUGACAACAGUUCUGGAAGGAAAUUUCGGAACAGUCAUUUUAUGAAUUAGAGUAAGGACUGAAUAUCUAGACACGAACCUUCUACCAUGGGCAGAUAUUCGGAGAUUCAUAUUAAGCUACACUUCAUGCAUGAUCAGAUAUACCUACAAGAGGGCAAAAGUACUGCGGAUGGGAUGGCAUCCGUUGGGACCAAAUGUAUCAAAUUUGUGCUAUGAGAGAUGUCGAUAUUGUUACCUCAAAACCUGCCGAAUAUUUUUUUAGGACCGAUGUGUUACAGGAUGCCUAUAUUAAACGACCUUGUAAAGCCACCGCUCAAAAAGUACAACAUGAUGCUCUCAUUGUAUAUAUUAAACGACCUUCUUACAGAGAUUGAUGCAGUAGACUUUGUUCAUGAAUGGAUGAUUCUCACAGCAUGAAUCUCAAGGCCUACGCUACCAGUGCUCUUAAUUUGAAAACACAAGCCUUUUUAUUUACUAGUCCUCGCGAGUUUUCGUGAACUCACCUGAUCCAGAUGUAUUGUUUUAUAAUGCUAGAUGAAGUCAAUCAAUUGAUUAGAUCAUAAUGACCAUAAAACCAAGUCAAAGGGGCCAGUUCUUGUCACUUGUCCAUUGAAUGCCAGUUCCCUCUAAUAUUAUUACACCCAAUGCGGUGCGCUGUCACUCACUGCAGCGAAUUCCAACUUGUUUUCCUACUCUCAAAUAUCAAAUGUGACACUUUCCUGAUCUGUGAACGCCAGUUUUAUUUAGGAGCUAGCUAUGCCGGAUGCUUUCAGGCGCACAUCCACAUCUCUUGAUACUCGUACAACUCCCUCGGAAAUUUUGCCAGAACAAGACUAGUAGGGCCUUUCUUAUCAAGCCCAGACUCCUUAUAUCACAAAGAAUUCCCCCAACCUCUUCAAUGCCAUAGGCAAUGCUUUCUAGGUUCGUGGCAAUCAUUUGAAACUAUUUAUUAAAAUAUUUGCCAGAUGCGCGUCCAAUUAAUGCAUGUAUCACCUAUGACAAUUUUGUAGGUAAAAGAUUAGUUGGGUUAUAUUUAUCAAGCCCCAACAGCUAAAUAUAUGCUUGUCUUGUCUUAGCCAUCUCCCUCUGAUAUCACAUUAAAUGGAGCAUGGCAUUGCUUUCUGUCGUGAAUUGCACAUUGUUGUUCCCUUCUGCUAAAUAUCCUAGAUCUACGAAAAUUUUAUUGCUAAGAUAUUCAAAAAAUUUGCCAAAGUCUGCGCAUUUCAACCAUGGAUGCAAAAAGAUGGACCUAGGAUGGAUUUAAUCCAUUUUUUUUCCCUCUCUUUUUGGUGUAAUAACAGCUUGCAUUAGGAUGAUUUCAUUGUAGCUUUAUAGUGGACGGAUCUGAUCCAUCUAAUAAUUUCUUCUCUGUAUCCAUGCGCUCAUGUCAAUAUCACCGGCAAAGAAUUAGUUCAAUCAUAAUUAACAAGCCUUGACAAGUAUGAUCCCACAUUGGAAGAGUUGAAUCAUCGCAUGUACAUUAAGUAACAUCGGAAUCCAGCUAGCAUUGACUGCUUAUUGUUUGGAAAAUGAAACAACAAAACUCAUAAUAAUGACGGAAUUGGAGGAGUCAGAUGAACUCAUGACGCACAUGACAUGUCAAAAGUUGAAGGCACAUGCAAACACGAGUUGUGUACGCAUUCCUGAGAUAAUAAAAAUAGAAUUUUUUUUGUAUGAAUAUCCUUCUAAAUAUCGAAUUUUGCAUGAAUACCUUUUUCAAAAUUGAUAUUUGCAUGUAUAUCCUUAUAAAACACUUAUUUUACUAUUUUACCUUUUUUUUAAUUUUAUUUUUGCAUAUGUACCCACGCCAUCUAACGCCAUUAAAAAAUUAACGAUUUUUAAAUUGAAAUAACUAAAGUAUCCUUAAUGGGUAGAUGUGCCAAAAAAAAAUUUAUAAGAUGAUCGCAGUAGAGGAUAAAAAAGUAAUUUCAAAAAUUUAUUUUCUUAAUUAAAAUAAUAUAUGGUUUUUAUUAAUAGUGUUAGAAAAAUCAUUAUAUUAGGGGCAUUUGUGCAAAAACAGUAUUUUAUGAGGGUACAAAAAUAAAUUUAUAUUUUAAAAAGGUAUUCAAGCAAAUUUAAAUUAUAUUAGAUGACCCUUUCCCAUGUUUUGCUGCUCGAGCCUGUCAUUUAUUUCUUCGACUACUAGCUGCAGUGCCAAAACAAUUGGCCAUGGACGGCAAGUUGACAGGGAUCUUGCAACAAUCUGGAUGGACACCAUCCAACUACUAGCUUGCAAAUGAUGUGGAGUCAAAUUAUGAAGUUAGGGCUACUAAGGUGUCACAUCAAAUUCCAACGUAUCUACCUCACGCAUGGAGCUCAUCUAAGGCUGGGUGCCCUGCAAAGCCCAGCCCGAAAUUUAGCGGGGGUGGGCACUACAAAUAGGCCCAUGGGAUGGGCCUCGGCAAAAAAAUAGGCCAGAUCAAAAAAAUGGGCUGGGCCUAACAAUUUAGAAAUAAGUCCGAUCUAGCCCAAGAUAUUACACACACACACACACACUGCCAGGUUAACUAAGGAUGCAAAUGAGCCGGCUGGCUUUAUGGGCUUAAAUUUACCGCAUUGUUUGAGCUGAUUUAUCGGGCCCAUCUUAUGAGAAGAAUUAGAUAUCUUUUAUUUGGAUUUUGAAUUUAAAAUAGUUUAGAUUGUGGCUCUAGUUCCAAGAAAAUAAAAAAUUAGGCCUGGAGAGCGGGCUUGAGACUGGCUCUACAAAAUUGGGCUGGAACUAGACAAAAAAUUUAAGCCUAAUGGUCGGGCUUGGGCAUAGCCAUCAGGCCUAACUUUUGUUCUGCCCGAGCCCAGCUCAGCCUGGGGUUUGAUAAGCUCUAAUCAUAUAUAACAUAUAGAAUCCAUAAAUUAGAAUGCUAACAUGGUGAAGUGAUAAACAAUGAGAGAACUUUAAGAAACCUGUGUAGUCGAGUUGGGAAAAGGUUGGUUUAGAUGCGUUCGGUCAUGGUUUGCCUUCAAAUAUUCCUAUGCCUCAUGAAGCAGAUUCAAUUAGAAAAUGGUGUUGCCAAUGCAAGAUUUAGUCACGCGGAUCGAUGACUGAGAAAACAGAGAGUUCUCUUGAUGAUGAGGGGUAGUAUUCAUGCUAGGCUGAUAUGAACUACCAUUGUAUUAAAAAAAAAUAGAAAUUCUAGAGAGGCUGGACGCAUGAAACCUAGAUGCAUUCUUCUGCAUGGUCUCGGUAUCUUGCAUUCUAGCUGCAUAUAUUUUUUGAGGAAAACAGGUGGUUGCACAUACAUGACAAUAAGAUUCAGAUGUUUUAUUCCUCCUUUUAUCAUACUUGUAGCCUGAGGUUUAUCAUUCACAUUCAAAAGGCCAAUGUAAAUGUAAAUUACAAUUGUUUCUUAAAGAAAUUUUUAAACUAGAUUGACUAUAAAAGCAAGGUGACCAGUCAAUCUCCACCAUAAGCAGUUCUUAGAGCUUUAAGCAAAUAGUUUUUGCAAUAUAAUCUAGUGAGGCAUUGCAAUCUAUAUUUACUAUGAUAUCGUGUAAGCAAUAGUGAAAAAGCUCCCGCCAAUAUCACUUUUCAUUCUUUCUUUCUUUCUUUCUUUCUUUUUUGAAUUCGAAUGGGAGGAAACGCAGUCAAAAAUCAGGCAAUAGCAAGCCUAAAUCCCAUGUCAUUAGUACAUUAAUCGAGUAUAAAUACAUCUACAGAAAUCAGAAAAUAAAAUAUUAAAAAACUGAAUAGAAAGAUCUGCCAAAAAAAACCCAUGGGGCUCGUUUGGUUCGUGGGAAUCAUUUUUCCUCCUAGGAAUAUAAUUCCUGGAAAGCAGAUUCCUUAGAAGAUGAUGUCUAGGAAAGUACUUUUGGCGUGUUUGGUUGACCAUGGAAAAGUGACAGAUUUCCAAAAUGCUUAUGUUUGGUUGACCAUCUACUUUCCUAGGAAAGUUAUAUAU